UACGUAGGGUGCAAGCGUUAAUCGGAAUUACUGGGCGUAAAGCGUGCGUAGUCGGUUAUUUAAGUCGGAUGUGAAAUCCCCGGGCUCAACCUGGGAAUUGCAUUCGAUACUGGAUAGCUAGAGUUCGGCAGAGGGAAGCGGAAUUUCGGGUGUAGCGGUGAAAUGCGUAGAUAUCCGAAGGAACAUCAGUGGCGAAAGCGGCUUCCUGGACCAGAACUGACGAUCAGGCACGAAAGCGUGGGGAGCAAACAGG
rnacentral:rRNA from 1 species